AUGAACCCUCCAGCUUGGUGGAUGUGCUGGAGUGAAUCAGAAAGGGCAAGUUUCCUGAAGGCCUGGGUCACCAGCGUGGAAAGCUGUGCCACAGCACGCGUGCCCCUCUGUCAGUCGGCACGAGGUCCCUGCAGGUGCCUGCUCUCUGUGCACCUGGGAACAGCAACUGCAAACCCGAGUGGGUGCCUGCCAGCACACAACAUCCCUCUCACGCGAAGUAAUGCCCUCCUCAUCCCGCAAAGUGAGUUGCUUGAGUAAAUAAAUUAAUUGCACCGUCAUGAGGAAACACACACGGAAUUUGCUUUACCACGAGGCAGAAUGUAACUCAGUAGGUGACCCAAACGGAUGAGCAACAGAGCUGUGGGGAGCUUCAGCAGCAUUCUUGGAAAGCCACCAUAUUCGAGGCGGCAGCAAUUAGACAAGAGCUGGCAAGGGCUGGUGGAGACGCGGCUUUAAAUAAAACUUGGUAUUUAUUAA
rnacentral:lncRNA from 1 species